CCUACGGGCGGCAGCAGUGAGGAAUAUUGGUCAAUGGACGAGAGUCUGAACCAGCCAAGUAGCGUGAAGGAUGACUGCCCUAUGGGUUGUAAACUUCUUUUAUAAAGGAAUAAAACGAGGCACGUGUGCCUUUUUGCAUGUACUUUAUGAAUAAGGAUCGGCUAACUCCGUGCCAGCAGCCGCGGUAAUACGGAGGAUCCGAGCGUUAUCCGGAUUUAUUGGGUUUAAAGGGUGCGUAGGCGGCCUUUUAAGUCAGCGGUGAAAGUCUGUGGCUCAACCAUAGAAUUGCCGUUGAAACUGGGAGGCUUGAGUAUGUUUGAGGCAGGCGGAAUGCGUGGUGUAGCGGUGAAAUGCUUAGAUAUCACGAAGAACCCCGAUUGCGAAGGCAGCUUACUAAACUGUGACUGACAUUGAUGCUCGAAAGUGUGGGUAUCAAACAGGAUUAGAUACCCGAGUAGUC
rnacentral:rRNA from 1 species